rnacentral:rRNA from 1 species
GUGACCUCAAAUCAGGUAGGACUACCCGCUGAACUUAAGCAUAUCAAUAAGCGGAGGAAAAGAAACUAACAAGGAUUCCCCUAGUAACUGCGAGUGAAGCGGGAAAAGCUCAAAUUUAAAAUCUGGCAGCCUUUGGUUGUCCGAGUUGUAAUCUAGAGAAGUGUUAUCCGCGCUGGACCGUGUACAAGUCUCCUGGAAUGGAGCGUCAUAGAGGGUGAGAAUCCCGUCUUUGACACGGACUGCCAGGGCUUUGUGAUGCGCUCUCAAAGAGUCGAGUUGUUUGGGAAUGCAGCUCAAAAUGGGUGGUAAAUUCCAUCUAAAGCUAAAUAUUGGCGAGAGACCGAUAGCGAACAAGUACCGUGAGGGAAAGAUGAAAAGAACUUUGGAAAGAGAGUUAAACAGUACGUGAAAUUGCUGAAAGGGAAACGCUUGAAGUCAGUCGCGUUGUCCAGGGAUCAACCUUGCUUUUGCUUGGUGCACUUUCUGGUUGACGGGUCAGCAUCAAUUUUGACUAUUGGAAAAAGAUUAGGGGAAUGUGGCAUCUUCGGAUGUGUUAUAGCCCUUGGUUGCAUACAAUGGUUGGGAUUGAGGAACUCAGCACGCCGCAAGGCCGGGUUUUUAACCACGUACGUGCUUAGGAUGCUGGCAUAAUGGCUUUAAUCGACC